AAUUGCAUUGUCGUUGUGUUUUCAAAUGUCUCCGGUUUAGGGGCUCGGAAAGGCCAGAGCAGGGGGAAUGAGAGG